UUUUUUAUAAAAAUAAUUUAUUAAUUUUUUGUUUUAGUAUUUAUUAAAAAUAAAUUUUGAGUUUUAUAGUUUAUUAGUAUUGUAAAAGAAAUUUUUAAAAUUUAAAUAAGAAUAAUAAAUUAGUACCUUUUGUAUCAGGGUUAAUUAAAAUUUUUAAUUUAUAUUUAAUUUCUCAAAAUUUAUAGAGUUAAUUUUAUUAUUUAAGUUAUUGUUUUAUAAAUAUUUAAAAAAUAAAUUUAGAUUUGAAAUUUAAUUCGUUAUGAAAUAUUUAGUUAUUUAAGAUUUAAAUUUAAUUUAUAAUUUUAAUAGUUAUUUUAAUUUAAAUUAAAAUUAUUUUAAAAUUAAAUUAUUUUAAGGAUAAGCUUAAAAUUUAUAUAUAAUAUUAAUUUUUUUAAUAAUUUUUAGGAAUAGUAAUUUUUAUUUUAAGUUUGUAAAAAUUUAUUAUUUAAUUUUAUUUUAAUUUAUUAUAUUAUUUAUUUUUUAUAUUAAAUUUUAUAAAUUAAUGAUUAAUUUAUAGUAAUAAUGAUUAAAUUAGUAUAAUAAAUAAAUUUAUAAAUUAUGAAUUCGGCAAUUUUUAUUUUCAUCUGUUUAACAAAAACAUUGUAUUAAGUUUUAUUUAAUAUAUAAUCUGCUCAAUGAUUUUAAAUUAAAUAGCUGCAGUAUUUUGACUGUGCAAAGGUAGCAUAAUAAUUAGUCUUUUAAUUGGGGACUUGUAUGAAAGAUUUGAUGAGAAAUAAACUUUAUUAUUUAUAAAAUUAAAAUUUUAUUUUUAAGUAAAAAGGCUUAAAUUUUUUUAAGGGACGAUAAGACCCUAUAAAACUUUAUAAUAUUUUGAUUUUAAUUUUUUUGUAAAUUAUUUAAUUAAAUUUAUUUUUAUUAUUUUAUUGGGGUGAUAAAAAAAAAUUAAUAACUUUUUUUAAAUUUUAACAUUAAUUUAUGAUUAUUUGAAUUAAUAUUUUUAAUUAUAGGAAAAAGUUACUUUAGGGAUAACAGCGUAAUUAAUUUUUGAAGUUCAAAUUUGAAAAUUAGUUUGCGACCUCGAUGUUGAAUUAAGAUAAACUUUAGGUGCAAAAUUUUAAAUUUUAGGUCUGUUCGACCUUUAAAUUCUUACAUGAUUUGAGUUCAAACC
rnacentral:rRNA from 1 species